CCAGAAGUUCAUUUCAUAGACGCUUCAUAAGGCUACUAUGAAAAUCAAAAUCGUUAGUAUUAAUUACAUAGAUAUGCCCUAUGAAUUUCAAUGUUUAUCCUUAUGAAUCAAAAUCAUAAGGUAGUCUUAUGGAGCAGCAUGUGAUUUCAAGUGUUCAUCCACGGGAAAAUAUUACUGUCAAUUGUCAUUAAUUUUCAUUCCCGACUGAUCAUAGUUUUUUCAAAUAAUUUAGCUAAUCAGCAAAAAUAAAGGCUGUCCCACGGUUUAUGACGAAUUUCGGGUAUCGGAUACAGCAAAUCCGUUCGUAUACAGCAACGACCAGAGGUUAGAACACCGACGAAGUUAGAAGCCACAGAUAACAAGCUGCUGAAUUGUUGUUUGCCUGUCACAUAAUAAUCCCAUCUCGGAUCACUAGCUACAGAACGUCAGUGAACCCGAUCCCAAGUGUUGAUCUGCUGCUGGUGUUUUUUGUCAGAUGACCAAAACUAGAUUCUUCUGGCGGCUAUUUCUGGAACGACAUCGAUCCUGAAAUGCAAAAGACUCCCAGCAAAAGACCAUCGCACUGCAGGCGGAGAAAAUCAUUCAAAGAUUCACUCCAAACGAGUGUAUUGUAUUGCCUGCAGCAACUGGUCGGCCAAAAUUUGAUCAACGUCGAAAAUUUAACAUCAGCGUCAUAGUAGACACGACAUCAAGCAAUUCGAUCAAAGAAUACAUAUGGAUUAGGACUCGUAGACUUCUGCUUGGUGAAGGAAUCACGGAAAAAACCCAGAAAGUAUAAAACUUAACGAGUUCUUCUGUUAUGUCUCAUCUUUUGCUACCAUCCACCCGGAAGAAGUAAAGCAAACAUAUCGGCAGGCAGCGGCAAAAGAAUGGUCGCUGGAGAAGUGUUGCUGGAACCAGAGUGUAGUUUGCGUUCGCUGGAAGUGGCGAAUGUCAUAAUCAACGUUGGCUGUCUUGCCCCACUUUCCCCUAGGAAACGCCUAACGAAUUUUCUUCUUUCUUGGUGAUAGUGGUAAAAAAGCGUACCAUGAGAUAUUGCUAUCCUGGAGAGUGGUGUCCGACUUGUAAAAAUCGUAUAGCUGCUUUGUUUUCGCUCGCAAGCUCAUUCGGAAAA